rnacentral:rRNA from 1 species
CCCUUAGAUGUUCUGGGCUGCACGCGCGCUACACUGACGAAUGCAACGAGCUUAUAACCUUGGCCGAAAGGUCUGGGUAAUCUCCAAAUUUCGUCGUGAUGGGGAUAGAUUAUUGCAAUUAUUAAUCUUCAACGAGGAAUGUCUAGUAAGCGCAAGUCAUCAGCUUGCGUUGAUUACGUCCCUGCCCUUUGUACACACCGCCCGUCGCUCCUACCGAUUGAAUGGUCCGGUGAAGCGUUCGGACCGUGGCCUUUGGACGGUUCGCCGUCUGUUGGCUGCGGGAAGUUCGUUAAACCUUAUCAUUUAGAGGAAGGAGAAGUCGUAACA